GGAGGAGGAAGGGAAGUCGGCCAUGAUGAUUUUAAACGGUUGACUCGUAACUAAGACGUGAAACCAAUAAAUUCUUCGGCUUCUGCUAUUGAUUUCUAGUUCAGCAUCAUUUCGGCUUCAUUUCUGACCUGGUCUUAUAUCUUGAUGCUGAUAUUUGGAUUGAAGACUGUGAUGGUGUCGUGGAAGGGAACAGUUAUGCCUUCAUUCAAAGUAUCCCCUGGAAUAGUGGAUCUGCCCCCUUCCCAGAACUGAGUGUGAUUUCUGACUAUGGGAGUGUUCACGUUUUUAGCGAUAGUCUCCCUUGGGCUAGUUGAUAUGCUCCUUUAGACUAGUAGAUAUGCCCCAGGACUAGUGGAUAUGCCCCAGGACUAGUGGAUAUGUAAUUAGAGAGAAGUGCCCAGCAUCAGAUUUCAACAGUACUUUGGAUGUUUUCAAGUGCUGAUUUCUAAUUUUUUUUUUUAAUCUAAUUUUUUUACCUUCCAAAUUUGACGAGACUACGAAAAUGGAUGUCAUUUCAGUGUCAAAAAGAUACACCACUAAAUUUACGUAUUCAAAAGUGUCAUAACACGCAACACAAAACCUACGAAUUCACGUGUGUCACAACAUCCAGCCCAAACAAUGAAUCUAAAAGUAUCACAACCUACAACACAAACUCUAUGAAUUCAAAAGUGUCACAACAUGCAACAUAAACCAUAUGCAUUCAAAAGUGUCACCUACGUAGGGGGGUGGCAC